rnacentral:misc_RNA from 1 species
UACGAACCUCGAGCCCCCGGGCUCGGUCUUGGGUGGCCGUUCCCGCGUGGACGCUCCCGAAAAUCAGCGGCGGUGCGGUCGGGCCCCAGGCGUAGUAGCAGUCAAAUCUUUCGCUUUAGGUGGCCGCGGCUAGCUCACUGGCCGGUUUAAUUCGCGACCCAGGUGGGUCCUUCUCCAC